UCCUACGGGUGGCUGCAGUGGGGAAUUUUGGACAAUGGGGGCAACCCUGAUCCAGCCAUGCCGCGUGCGGGAAGAAGGCCUUCGGGUUGUAAACCGCUUUUAGCCGGGAAGAAAAGGCGGGGGCUAACACCCCUCGUUCUUGACGGUACCGGCGGAAUAAGCACCGGCUAACUACGUGCCAGCAGCCGCGGUAAUACGUAGGGUGCGAGCGUUAAUCGGAAUUACUGGGCGUAAAGCGUGCGCAGGCGGUUCGUUAAGUCUGAGGUGAAAGCCCCGGGCUGAACCUGGGAAUGGCAUUGGAAACUGGCGUGCUGGAGUGUGGCAGAGGGGGGUGGAAUUCCGCGUGUAGCAGUGAAAUGCGUAGAGAUGCGGAGGAACACCGAUGGCGAAGGCAGCCCCCUGGGCUGACACUGACGCUCAGGCACGAAAGCGUGGGGAGCAAACAGGAUUAGAUACCCCGGUAGUCUA
rnacentral:rRNA from 1 species